rnacentral:misc_RNA from 1 species
AAAAAGCAGAAGGAAGAUUCUGAAUAAAUUAUUUUAACUUGCAAGUGACAUUUGUACUAAUUCUGUGUUGCUCUUCAUUUUUUACUUUUUUUUUUUUAACAGUGCGGCAUUCUGGUUAAAGUGAAAUCAAGGGAGGAGUAUAGAGAUAAGAGGCAUGGGAUUUCUUCCCUGGAAGUCACAGAUGUUACAUAAUUACAGAAUACUUUUAGCUAGACCCAGCCAUGGUCCGGAUUGGAACCAGACCUGUCUAACCUGGGUUGAUUGGA